GACAGAGGGGCCAAGCGUUAGGCGGAAUCACUGGGCUUAAAGCGUGUGUAGGCGGCCUGGUAAGUACCUUGUGAAAUCCCACGGCUCAACCGUGGAACUGCUCGGUAUACUGCUCGUCUUGAGCCACUUAGGGGCUGUCGGAACAAACGGUGGAGCGGUGAAAUGCGUAGAUAUGGGGAGGAACACCGGUGGCGAAGGCGGCCACCUGGACGGUAACUGACGCUGAGACGCGAAAGCGUGGGGAGCAAACAGG
rnacentral:rRNA from 1 species